AUCUUCUUAGUUUAGUAUUUAAAAUGUGAUUUUGAAGUGAUCAAGAGAUUUAGAAGGUG
rnacentral:tRNA from 1 species